CCUACGGGUGGCUGCAGUGAGGAAUAUUGGUCAAUGGACGCAAGUCUGAACCAGCCAUGCCGCGUGCAGGAAGACGGAUCUAUGAGUUGUAAACUGCUUUUGUACGAGGGUAAACACCCCUACGUGUAGGGGAUUGAAAGUAUAAUUCGAAUAAGGAUCGGCUAACUACGUGCCAGCAGCCGCGGUAAUACGGAGGAUCCAAGCGUUAUCCGGAUUUAGUGGGUUUAAAGGGUGCGUAGGCGGUUUGAUAAGUUAGAGGUGAAAUACCGGUGCUCAACCCCGGAACUGCCUCUAAUACUGUUGAACUAGAGAGUAGUAGCGGUAGGCGGAAUGUAUGGUGUAGCGGUGAAAUGCUUAGAGAUCAUACAGAACACCGGUUGCGAAGGCAGCUUACCAAACUAUAUCUGACGUUGAGGCACGAAAGCGUGGGUAGCAAACAGGAUUAGAUACCCUUGUAGUC
rnacentral:rRNA from 1 species